GGCGCUCGGCUCGGCGCCCUGCCCACGGUGAGCGUCGGAUUUAAGACGGAUCGACGGGCGUCAGGGUCCGUCUCCCCGCUCUAGACCGGAGGCCGGCGGCGGAGGGAGACGCGGCUCCCGACGCCCCGCACACGGUAAGCGCCCGACGGAUACCGUCGAGCGCCGGGGCGGCUCCCUCGGGGUCUCUCGCCUCCGAGGCCCCUCUGAGACGGUGAGGCGGUCGUCGCGGACGAGGAACGGGCCCGUUUUUUUUAACACCGCUCCGCCGUCCCGCCCGCGCGGCGCUCGGGACCCGGCGAGCGUUCAGCGGAGAGCACCGAGGGACCGGGCCCCUCUCUUCCCGUCCGGAUCUCCCCUCUGGACCAUCGCGAGCCGGGGACGGGUCCGUCGACUCCGUGACCGGCGUCUCCUCGGAAGCGUGGAGCCCGGUCCCCCGCACGGGGCGAGCGCUCCUCGGUGAGUACGGCCGACGACGCGACCGGCGCCGUCCGCCUCCGUGGACCGUGCCGCGGUCGGAUCGUCCUCCCCCGCGGCCCCGAGCCCGGGGCCGUGCGUGUGGAAAGGGCUCAAUAAACAGGUCUA